ACUUUCAUUAGGCUACCUGGGCUUCCUUGGAAGAAAGGACAGUCUUUGCUCACUAUGGCUUUACUCAGGAAUUUAAGACCUAUUUAGAAAUAAAUUACAUGUACUAUGAAAGUUUCAUGGCGAUCAAAGACGAAAUAUGUAUUGACACACAUUCACGCACACAAACAAAAGAACAAUACUGGAUAAUGUACUCAAAUUAAAACUCUAAUUUUAUCCCUGUGUAUCACUGGAUAUUUUCGGGAAAGGGCAAUAGAAGGGAUGCGGAGUUUUGGCAACAUAUUUAUAUAUUUCAGUAGCAAUAAUUUGUUACAAAUACGGUAAACACAUUCAUAAAACAAUCGACAUUAGAUGAAAUCCUCCGGAAUGUCCUCUCCACAAGGACAUUUUCGAACUGUUAUUGAAUUCACGAUGUUAAAGCGAAAUCGAUUCGAUUACGAGGAAUUUAACCACACAUUCGCCAUUUAUUGAAUUCAAAAAAACUUAUAUAAAUAUUACUUUUUACUGAUUCACAGAUUUGCCAUGGUUACUACCGUUUGGAUUAUUAGGGAUUGGAAUCGGAGGAGUUUCAUUGUCUUGCACAAAUAUACCAGUAUCCUAUCUUCAUCCACGUCUACGGUCAACAAUUGUUUCCUUAUUCAUAGGGCUGUAAGACUUUUCCUCGGCCAACCAAUAGCUGAUAAGGGUUGCAUAUGAAAAUGGCAUCUCGAGACGAACGUCCUAUAUCUUUAUGUCUGUUAUGUUUGCUGUGAUAACCACUAUCAGCACGAUGCUCUUCCUACCAAGGAUGUUUAUCGGUGACCUCUACCUGGAAGAGAUGGAGAUAAAGCGGAACCAGAAAAAGAUUAAUUAUACUGACGACACCGAGUCGAAACAAGUAGAAAACCAAGAUGAACUUCCGAAAUUGCAAGAACAGGACCUUGUUGGUAACAUUAAUUAGAAUUUGAUUGAAACUUAAUUGGUAAGUUAUACUUGCGAUUCAUUGAAAUUUCAUGAUUGAGUCUGUAUUCAUUUACACACGUUUUUCUAUAGAUUGGACCGUUUUCCGACUUCUUUUGUAUAUAGUCUCUCGAAAAGCUUAAUUAACUACAUUUAAACAUAAUAGAAAGACUUUUAACUUCACUUUAUCAAAUCUGUUUAGCAUUCACUACAUUUAAUAGUAAAGUAUAUUUUCAGAAAAAAACGGUAGUAUGGACCUGGAAAUGUCAAUUAAAAACUCUAAACUGUCAUUUUGUUCGACUGUUUUCUCCGUAACGUGCAUCCUUCACAUCUGCUGGAUAUUUGUUCAUGCAAUAAGAAUGUUUACGUUCUUUGGACAGAUAAAUGUCUGGCUAGAAGACGUCUUCGACAACGAUAAGGCGAAAGUUGGAGACAUGCUAGCAAGUUUCUACUAUAUAACUUUGGCAUCAGUUGGUACUGCGCUGCUUUUUGGGUUCGUUUACGACUACCAACGUAAACGCCAUGCAGGUUCUGGUGAGAUUAAAAGCGUCUAUCUUCCGGCAGUACUGCCGUUAGCUUUGACGCUCCUCUUCUCUACAAGCACAAGGUGGAAAAUGGUCGUGUAGAAUAACAAAUCAAAACAAAAAGGGAAGCAAAAAAAGAAACAGAAACAGAGCUAUCUAAAAUUGUAGUUGAGAAAGUUGUUUGUUUUUGUUUAAGUAAAUCACACACAUGUAAUUUCAGCUCAUUGCUAACGCAUAUAUAUAUGGGUGGGCCAGUGGUCUAGUGGUAACACGCUUGACUGCCAAUCCAGAGGUCCGGGGUUCGAAUUCCAGUCCAGGAACUGGAAUUUCUGAGAUACUCUUGAGUGUCUCCCACCUGACUAAGAGGCCUGUACUGGUUCUUCCAAGGAAAGACGGCGUCGCGUGUAUCGGU
rnacentral:lncRNA from 1 species